rnacentral:rRNA from 1 species
UUAAGAUACUAAGAGCAUACGGUGGAUGCCUUGGCGAUAUCUGCCGACGAAGGACGUGACAAGCUGCGAAAAGCUGCGGAGAGAUGCAAAUAAUCGGCGACCCGCAGACAUCCGAAUGGAGAAAUCCGGCUGUGAUGAUGCACAGCCAUCCAUGCCCAAGAGCAUGAGAAGGGAACCGGGCGAACUGAAACAUCUAAGUAACCCGAGGAAAAGAAAUCAAACGAGAUACCCCAAGUAGCGGCGAGCGAACAGGGAAGAAGCCCAAACCGGUGAAGGAAACUUUGCCGGGGUUGAGGACCAUCAGACCCGCGAAGAACUUUAGCCGAAACUGUUGGGAAACAGUGCCGAAGACAGUGAAAGCCUGGUAGGCGAAAAAGAGAAACGCGGAGAUGGCACCAGAGUACCGCGGGACACGAGAAAUCCCGUGGGAAGCAGGGGGGACCACCCUCCAAGGCAAAACACAGAUAUCGACCGAUAGCGCAUAGUACCAUGAGGGAAAGGUGAAAAGCACCCCGGGAGGGGAAUGAAAGAGAACCUGAAACCGUAUGUUUACAAGCAGUCGGAGACCGCUUAAUAAUAAGGUCGACGGCGUGCCUAUUGAAGAAUGAACCGGCGAGUUACGAAGCCUGGCAAGGUUAAGCAGGAAAUGCGGAGCCGAAGCGAAAGCGAGUCUUAAGAGGGCGCAAGUCAGGAAGCGUAGACCCGAAACCACAGUGAUCUACCCAUGUCCAGGUUGAAACACAGGUAAAAAUGUGUGGAGGACCGAACCUAUAUCCGUUGAAAAGGGUUAGGAUGAGGUGUGGGUAGGGGUGAAAUUCCAAUCGAACGUGGAGAUAGCUGGUUCUCCCCGAAAUAGCUUUAGGGCUAGCCUCAGGGAAAAGAUUGCAGGCGGUAGAGCACUGAUCAGGAGAGGGACCUACCCGGUUACCAAACCCAGUCAAACUCCGAAUGGCUGCAAUCAUACCUGGGAGUCAGACUGCGACUAAUAAGGGCCGCAGUCAAAAGGGAAACAGCCCAGACCAUCAGCUAAGGUCCCCAAUGCCGUGCUAAGUGGCAAAGGAUGUGGCAUUUCAUAAACAACCAGGAUGUUGGCUCAGAAGCAGCCACCAUUUAAAGAGUGCGUAAUAGCUCACUGGUCGAGAGACGCUGCGCCGAAAAUGUCCGGGGCUCAAGCACGGAACCGAAGCUAUGGCAUGAUAGCAAUAUCAUGGGUAGGGGAGCGUUCUUAUAAGGAAGAAGCAUGACCGGAAGGACAUGUGGACAAAUAAGAAGUGAGAAUGCCGGUAUGAGUAUCGAAAAGAAAGGUGAGAAUCCUUUCCACCGAAAGCCCGAGGGUUCCUGAGCAACGAUCGUCGACUCAGGGUAAGUCGGGACCUAAGCCGAGGCGAGAAGCGUAGGCGAUGGACAACAGGUUGAAAUUCCUGUACCGGAUCAAGUCGAUCGAGCGAAGGAGCGACGCAGGAGGGCACAUGAUCGCGCGGCUGGAAGAGCGCGUCCAAGUGCGUAUGUUGCUGCAGAGGAAAACCCCUGCAGCUAAAAGCAGAGACAUGAAGGGGAGUUAAAGGAAACUUUGACGAACUCAUGGAUCCCACACUGCCAAGAAAAACUUCUAGCGAGACAAGAUCCGCCCGUACCGUAAACCGACACAGGUAGGCGGGGAGAGAAUCCUAAGGUGCGCGGGAAAACCCUCGUUAAGGAACUCGGCAAAUUGCAUCCGUAACCUAGGGAGAAGGAUGGCCCCCGGUCAGUGAAGAGCAGAAACGCUCAGAGCUAAAAGGGGCGGCAGAAAAGAGGCCCAAGCAACUGUUUACCAAAAACACAGGUGCCUGCGAAAGCAAAAGCUGAAGUAUAGGUGCUGACGCCUGCCCGGUGCCGGAAGGUUAAGGAGAGAAGUUAGCGAAAGCGAAGCAUCGAACUGAAGCCCCGGUGAACGGCGGCCGUAACUAUAACGGUCCUAAGGUAGCGAAAUUCCUUGUCGGGUAAGUUCCGACCCGCAUGAAAGGCGUAAUGAUUUGGGCACUGUCUCAACGAGGGGCCCGGUGAAAUUGAAAUACCUGUGAAGAUGCAGGUUACCCGCGACUGGACAGAAAGACCCCAUGGAGCUUCACUGCAGCUUGAGAUUGAAUCCCGGUGACAGAUGCACAGGAUAGGUGGGAGGCGCCGAAGCAUUGCCCUAGGGCGGUGCGGAGCCGAUGUUGGGAUACCACCCUUCUGUUGCUGAGAUUCUAACGCGAGGAGUAACGACCCUGCGGACCCUCUCAGGCAGGCGGUUUGACUGGGGCGGUCGCCUCCGAAAGAGUAACGG